rnacentral:lncRNA from 1 species
AUAACUUGCCCCAAAUUUGACUUGUUUCUGUUGAAUUCCCCUCGAUUCUCAUACCUCGGCUUCGUACCACCCACAGUUCCUUGGCCUCCUUGCUUAUGAACUUUGAAAGGGCCCCUACGACCUUGCCAAGCCAACAAGUCAGAAUUCAAAACACUAUCAAAGUGUUUACAAUGUACCUUACUCGUAGCAUUUACUCGUCUCGACUGUCUUUGCAUUACUCCUUUUCCCUUGGAGCCCGAUGCACAACCCACCUUUCCCAAAGGUGUCGGUUCCACAGUCGGUCCCGCAGGCUUCAUAUCGGUCCCUUGCGCCACUAACACUUGUGAAGGGGCUUUCGUAGCAUUCCAUUUCGACGAUUUAAUGUUUCUCCCAUACGAAACAUCUUCGACUAGUUGGAUUGACGAUAACACCUUAGUCCCAACUUUCACAUCCCGAUGCACCGGCACAAUACUCUUUGUUGAUAGACCGGUGGCAAUAUGGAUUUGAUCGGCCCCUAGUUGCAGAGUUGCCUGAAUCCUAACAAGGAAGUUUAAGCCAAGCACAAAAUCGUAAUCAUCUAAUUGGAUUACCUCGAAUUCUUCCUUGCUCUUCCAUUCACCGAUUUGUAGUUCCACAUCACGAACUACUCUCACAGUUGGGGCUUUCUCAGAUGUUGCUACCUUGAUCUUCUUAUUCGAUUUCCUAAUCGACAGACCAAGCUUCUUCACAGACUUUUCCGACAUGAACAAGUCCGAUGCUCCCGUAUCAAUAAGAGCACUCCGCUUCUGACCCGCAAUGUUGAUGUCCACAAACAUCAACCCAUUUUCAUUCCUCUUCCCAAGAAUGAGCACCAUCGAAUUGACUUUCGAUGUGUUUCCCUCGGUCGGCUUUGCCUCCUCCUUCGGCUCAUCAUUCUUUGCCAAAAUCAUCACUUUAUUUGGACAUUUACGCGCCAUGUGUGGUCCUUGACAAAGGAAGCAUUUCAUCUUCUUCCUCUUGUCCCUUGGGUUGUCUAAUCCCCGAUUCGCAUCUCGUGGUUUCCCAUUGCCACUUGUGCUAUCAGUACUGUUGCCCCCAUCGCUAUGUCCCCUUUCAUCUUCUUCAUGGUUUCUCUCACCAUUGCCCCUUCCAUUGGGCUUAGAUGCCUCAAGCUUGUCUCCCACUGGAUCAAGCUCAAGCUCAACAAAGGACUCUGCUUCGGCCAUGGCUACAGUAAGUUCGGUGAUUCCUUGCCUUCGCAACUCCUGCUUUGCCCACGGCUUUAACCCAUCCUCGAACCAAUAGAAUGCUUUUUUAUCGCUCAAGUCAGAGAUUUGAAGCAUCAACUCACUAAAUGUCCGAACAUACUCCCGAACAGUGCCUUGUUGCGUGAGACGAUGUAACUUUGCUUGAGCCUCCUUCUCAGCAAACUGAGGGUAAAACUGCUUCUUCAACUCUCCUUGAAACUCCUCCCAAGUUCCAAUAGCUGUUCCUCCACGUUUCUCAUCUGUGGACCUACGUCGCCACCACAAGAGAGCAACAUCAGAAAAGUAAAUCGAAGCAGUGUUUACCUUAAUGGCAUCAUCCUCGAUGCCUAUCGCUCGGAAGUAUUGCUCCAUUUCCCACAAGAAGUUGUCCACAUCCCUUGCGGAUCGUGCACCCUUAAACUUUUUCGGUUUGGGAACAUCCAUUGCAUGUUGCUUCGGCCUUGAAGACAAGAUCCCAUUACUCAAAGCGGCUUUGUAAAUCGCGAGUUCCCCUUUGAGCUCCUCCAUUUCUUUCUGCAUGGCUAGCACCAUAUCCUCGAGAGCUUCAUCCCUCUCUGCCAACUUUACCUCAGUGGACUCGAGUAAUUCCGUUAUCUUUUCCCUAUUUGCACCGAGAGAAUCCAACACAAAGUCUCUGAGUUGCUCCUCCAUUGAGUCAAACCCAUCCGUGCAUCCCUCGACUAUUUCAAGCAUCUCUUUCACGUUCCCUACGGAUUCCUCGAGAUUGACCACUCGAUUUUCCAAAGCUGUCAGCAUUCCCCUCGAGCGACUGAAUUUUCAAGCCCUCCCACGGGUCUCCAUUGGCUCACUCUGACCGACGACUUCUUUCGACAUCCCAAUAGUGCCUUCGAACCACUCGAAUAACAUGGUUCAAAACUUCGAACCACUCGAAUAACUAUCGGGGAAUCCCUUCCAUCGGACUAGGUAUUCAUGCCGCGGUCGAUAGUACUUUCGUCUGAUCACACGAUCCCCCUCUAUGUUCUCCACUUCUCUAUCAUAGGCAGUUUUUACCCCCAUCGGUGCUCGUUUGGACUUUUUUCGGUUUGGGUCUUCUCCAUCUUCAUGGAAUAGCUUAAGCAUACUCACAUGAAACACUGGAUGGAGUUUGAGUUUUUUAGGCAACUCAAGCUUGUAGGCCACCUUGCCUACCUUCUUCAAAACUCGGAACGGCCCCUCAUAACGUUGAACAAGCCCUUUAUGCAACCCAUUUGUCGCAAGACCUGGUGCAGUUUAGCAAGGACGGAGUCACCAACCUGAUAUUGCACAUCCCUUCGAUUCUGAUCCGCCCGCUUCUUAUUGCGCUUACUCGCCUUGUGAAGACAAGCUCUAGCCAAAUCGUUUUGCUCUUGCCAAUCUCUCGCAAAUCGAUAGGCUGCUGGAUUCGGUCCCCCAUAACGAGUCGCAACAACAUUGGGUGUAAGUGGCUGUUGUCCUGUCACUAUCUCGAACGAACUCUGGUUUGUCGCCCCACUUCUUUGCAAAUUGUAAGAAAACUGAGCCACAUCCAGCAAUUUUGGCCAGUCCCUUUGUGUGGCACUCACAUAGUGCCGUAGAUAUAUCUCCAACAACGUGUUCACUCGUUCAGUUUGCCCAUCGGUUUGUGGAUGCAUUCUGGUUGAAAAGUUCAAGUUCGAGCCCAUUAACUUGAACAACUCCGUCCAAAAUCAUCCCGUGAAUCACCCAUCUCGAUCGCUGAUGAUAGAUUGUGGCACUCCCCAAUACUUCACCACAUGUCUAAGAAACAAGCGAGCAGCCUCCUCAGCAGGACACUCCUCGGUUGCGGGGAUAAAAGUUGCAUACUUUGAAAACCUGUCCACCACAACAAAAAUGCUUACAAAUCCAUCAGAUUUAGGCAAACCUACAAUAAAGUCCAUGGAUAAACUCUCCCAUGGGCACUCCGGAAUAGGUAAAGGUUGUAGCAACCCAGCAGGAGCCUUCAACUCGAUUUUAUCUUGUUGGCACACCAAAUAAGUUUUCAGAUAAGUCUCCACAUCGUCACUCAUGUGAGGCCAAUAAAAUCGAUCCUCCAAGAGAGCCAAAGUGCGGUGCAUGCCUGGAUGUCUAGCCCAUCUUGAACCAAGACAUUCCUUCAUGACUUCCUUUCGUAAGUUCCCAUGUUGGGGCACAUAUAGACAUUGUCCUUAAGUGUAUAGUAAUUCUCCCUCGAGCCAAAAUCGCCUCGUUUUUCCCUCCUUGGCAAGCUCAAUCAAAUUUUUGGCCGUGGAAUCGUGGGACAACCCUUCUUGAAUGAGCUCCAAUAAGGGACUAUUGGGUUGGCUUAUCAUUGCAAAUUCCAUCUUUCGGCUAAGCGCAUCAGCUACAAUGUUGGCACUCCCCGGCUUGUACUCCAUGCUAAAAUCAAACUCUGCUAGGAAAACCUGCCAACGAGCCUGUUUGGGGGACAACUUUUUCUGGGUUAGGAAAUAACUAUUUGCAACAUUAUCAGUGAAUACCACGAACCUGGAACCCAGCAAAUAGUGCCUCCAUGUACGCAAACAAUGUACCACAGCAGUCAUCUCUUUUUCUUGGACCGUGUAUCUCCGUUCUGUCUCAUUCAGCUUUCGACUCUCGAAAGCAAUUGGAUGCCCCUCUUGCAUCAAUACUCCCCCAAUUGCAUAGUCUGAAGCAUCCGUGCGUACCUCAUACGCCUUUGUAAAAUCUAGUAAAGCAAGUACAGGUUCACUCACCAUUGCUUGCUUUACUUGGUCAAAAGCUUUCUCACACCGAGAGUUCCAGUCCCAUACUUUGCCCUUUUUCAACAAGUCCGUCAAGGGUGUAGUGAUCUUGGAGUAGCCUUCAAUGAAACGUCGAUAGUAGUUUGCUAAACCAAGAAAGGACCGCAAUUGUGUUACCUUGGUUGGUGGCUCCCAAUUGAAAAUUGCUCGGACUUUGCUUGCAUCCAUUCGGAUCAUGCCACCUCCUACAAUAUGGCCAAGAAAAGGCACCUCUCGUUGGGCAAAUGAGCAUUUUUCCUCUUUGACAUACAGCUCAUUUUCCCGUAGGACUUGGAACACCUCCCUCAUAUGUCCAAUGUGCUCCUCAAGCGUCUUACUAUACACCACAAUGUCGUCAAGAUAAACAACCACAAAGCGAUCUAAGAAAGGUUGUAAUACCUUAUUCAUUAGGGUGCAAAAUGUUGCCGGAGCAUUUGUCAAUCCGGACGGCAUCACCAAGAAUUCAAAAGACCCAUAUCGAGUCACACAGGCUAUUUUGGGCUCAUCCCCUUCGGCUACUCUCACUUGGUAGUACCCCGAUCGCAAAUCCAACUUAGUAAACCAUCUCGCUCUACCAAGUUGAUCGAACAAAUCUGCAAUGAGAGGAAUGGGAUACUUGUUCUUCACAGUGAUCUUGUUUAAGGCCCUAUAGUCAAUGCACAAUCUUAAGGACCCAUCAUGCUUCCUUUGGAAUAACACUGGCGCUCUAAAUGGGGCUUUGAAAGGUUUAAUGAACCCGGCAUCUAGCAGUUCCCUUAACUGCUUCCUCAAUUCUUCCAACUCAGGCGGAGACAUUCGAUAUGGUGCCCUUGCUGGUGGCUCAGUAUUAGGCAACAACUCAAUCUUGUGAUCCACCUCCCUCUUUGGUGGCAAUGUCUUGGGCAACUCUGUGGGCAUUACAUCCUGAAAAGACUGCAACAGCUGCUUCACUUCCUUUGGGAUUUCCCCCUCGAAUUUCUCCUCCACAUUGUUCCUUAAGGUGGCUAAAUAGGAGACUUCGUUUUUAGUACUCCUUUGGCAAAUUGGAUUGCCGACAACGUUUUGCCUUCCAUGUUUCUCU